UGAUUAUGGCUCAGAUUGAACGCUGGCGGGAUGCUUUACACAUGCAAGUCGAACGGCGCACGGGACUUCGGUCUGGUGGCGAGGGCGAAUCGGGUGAGUAAUGUAUCGGAACGUGCCUAGUGGGGAUAACUACGCGAAAGCGUAGCUAAUAUCACCGCAUACGCCCUUUCGGGGGAAAGCGGGGACCUUCGGGCCUCGCACUAUUAGAGCGGCCGAUAUCGGAUUAGCUAGCUGGUGGGGCAACAUUUCACUCAAGGCGACGAUCCGUAGCUGGUUUGAGAGGACGACCAGCCACACCGGGGACUGAGACACGGCCCAGACUCCUACGGGAGGCAGCAGUGGGGAAUUUUGGACAAUGGGGAAACUCGAUCCAGCCAUCCGCGUGUGCGAUGAAGGCCUUCUGGGUUGUAAAGCACUUUUGGCAGGAGGCAGAAGAAACGGCACGAUAAUACCCCGUGCAACUGACAGAAAAUUUUUGCAAAGAAGCACCGGCUAACUACGUGCCAACAGCCGCGGUAAUACGUAGGUGCAAGCGUUAAUCGGAAUUACUGGGCGUAAAGCGUGCGCAGGUUCGGAAAGAAAGAUGUGAAAUCCCAGAGCUUAACUUUGAACUGCAUUUUUAACUACCGAGCUUAGAGCAGGUCAGAGGGAGGUGGAAUUCCGCGUGUAGCAGGAAAUGCGUAGAUAUGCGGAGGAACACCGAUGGCGAAGGCAGCCCCUUGGGAUAACACUGACGCUCACGCACGAAAGCGUGGGAGAGCAAACAGGAUUAGAUACCCUGGUAGUCCACGCCCUAAACGAUGUCAAUCCAGCUGUUGGGGCCUUCGGCCUUGGUAGCGCAGCUAACGCAGAAGUUGGACCGCCUGGGGAGUACGGUCGCAAGAUUAAAACUCAAAGGAAUUGACGGGGACUCCGCACAAGUGCGGAUGAUGUGGAUUAAUUCGAUGCAACGCGGAAAACCUUACCUACCCUUGACAUGUCUGAAUCCCGAAGAGAUUUGGGAGUGCUCGCAAGAGAACCGAACACAGGUGCUGCAUGGCUGUCGUCAGCUCGUGUCGUGAGAUGUUGGGUUAAGUCCUGCAACGCGCAACCUUUGUCAUUAGUUGCUACGAAAGGGCACUCUAAUGAGACUGCCGUGACAAACCGAGGAAGGUGAUGACGUCAAGUCCUUGGCCCUUAUGGGUGGGCUUUCACACGUCAUACAAUGGUCGGGACAGAGGGUCGCCAACCCGCGAGGGGAGCCAAUCCCAGAAACCCGAUCGUAGUCCGAUCGCAGUCUGCAACUCGGACUGCGUGAAGUCGGAACGUCGUAACGCGAUCAGCAUGUCGCGGUGAAUAUGUUCCUCGGGUCUCGUACACACCGCCGUGUCACACCAUGGGAGUGGGUUUUACCAGAAGUAGUUAGCCUAACCGUAAGGAGGGAAGACACGGUAGAUUCAUGACUGGGGUGAAGUCAACAAGGCAA
rnacentral:rRNA from 1 species